rnacentral:rRNA from 1 species
UUGGACAAUGGGGGAAACCCUGAUCCAGCGAUGCCGUGUGUGUGAAGAAGGCCUAAGGGUUGUAAACCACUUUAGUUAGGGAGGAGAAGCAGAUAAUGAAUAAUUGUCUGUGGAGACGUUACCUACAGAAUAAGCACCGGCUAACUCUGUGCCAGCAGCCGCGGUAAUACAGAGGGUGCAAGCGUUAAUCGGAAUUAUUGGGCGUAAAGGGCGCGUAGGCGGUUAGAUAAGUUGGAUGUGAAAUACUCAGGCUUAACCUGAGAACUGCAUCCGAUACUAUCUUACUAGAGUACAGAAGAGGGAAGUGGAAUUUCCAGUGUAGCAGUGAAACGCGUAGAUAUGGAAGGAACACCAGUGGCGAAGGCGGCUUCCUGGUCUGAAACUGACGCUGAGGCGCGAGAGCAUGGGGAGCAAACAGGAUUAGAUACCCUGGUAGUCCAUGCUGUAAACGAUGAGAACUAGCUGUUUAUGUUGAAAGAUAUGAGUGGCGAAGCUAACGCGAUAAGUUCUCCGCCUGAGGAGUACGGCCGCAAGGCUAAAACUCAAAGGAAUUGACGG